rnacentral:rRNA from 1 species
AAUACCCUAUUAUUUUUAAAGUAAUUUAUAAAGCCUAAUUAGUAAUAGUUAAGUUCUCGAAAAUUAAAGAAUUUGGCGGUAUUUUAGUCUAUUCAGAGGAAUCUGUCCUAUAAUUGAUAAUCCACGAUUUUUUAUACCUAUUUUAUUAAUUUACAUAUCGCCGUAGUUUGAAUAUUUUUUGAAAAUUAUAAUAUUCAUAAUUUAUUUUUAUAAAAAAAAUCAGGUCAAGGUGUAGUUUAUGAGUAGGAAGAGAUGGGUUACAAUAAAAAUAUUUAUAUAUGGAUUAAUAAAUUAAAUUUUUUUAUGAAGGUGGAUUUGAUAGUAAUUUUAUUUA